UACGAAGGGGGCUAGCGUUGUUCGGAAUUACUGGGCGUAAAGCGCGCGCAGGCGGCUAUCCAAGUCAGUGGUGAAAGCCCGGAGCUCAACUCCGGAACUGCCAUUGAAACUGUUUAGCUUGAGGAUGAGAGAGGUGAGUGGAAUUCCCAGUGUAGAGGUGAAAUUCGUAGAUAUCAGGAGGAACACCGGUGGCGAAGGCGUCCAUCUGGCCCGAUACUGACGCUGAGGCGCGAAAGCUAGGGGAGCGAACGGG
rnacentral:rRNA from 1 species